GGGGACGUGGGCCCGGCGGUGACGGGGGGAGUUGGGGGGGGGGGAAGCAGGGAAGCGUCGCCAGCCAAUCGCGCGCGUCGCACCCAACGUGGGGUGCUGACGCAACGCGUCCCCGAAGCCUAUAGCAGCAGAGCACCGGACGGACCGUCCUCCCCCUCCUCUCUUACCCCGUUUGCUUCCAUCUCCGCCGUCUCCUCGGUCUCCCCUCCCACCCCUCUACCCCUCCUCCCCCAGCCGCGUCCUCCCGGGCUCGGAGAGGAACUGUUCUUGGAGGAGCCGCGGGACGUCGAAACCAACCAAUGAGAAGAGGCGAGACGCGGAGAUUGGCACUGUGGAUGGGAAGAGAGAAGAGAGACAGAGAAAUGAGUCCUAGCUCCUCAUUCUUUUACUUUUAUUCUGGUAUCAGGCCAGUGCCAAGAGAGGUGGAAAAGUUGGACACUGAAAGGCUGGAAAACUUGCCAGAGUGAAGCUGAGGAGGCAAGAAAGGUGAUUUCUCUUCUGCAAAGGGAGCCUGUGUGUCAUCCAAGCCCUACCUGUGUGCAUCAAUUACGCGAAAUCCUUCCAGCCACCCUGACCGCUGAUGAAAGUACUAUGUUCAGAGCUGACUCUUCUAUUCGAGCAGAAAACACUUCUCCAUCACUUCCAGGGAGCAGAAAUUUCCCUAAAGAAAUUGUUUUGUACUUGCUGAGAAAGCCUUAUAAUUUUCACGGUAACUUAUCCUCCUAUGAAAACUACCUUUCUUCAAUACAACCAAGAAUAUUAAUCCUCCUCAAUACAUUUUUG
rnacentral:lncRNA from 1 species